UACAGAGGUCCCGAGCGUUGUUCGGAUUCAUUGGGCGUAAAGGGUGCGUAGGCGGCGGGGCAAGUCUGAUGUGAAAUCCCGGGGCUCAACCCCGGAACUGCAUUGGAUACUGCCUUGCUUGAGUACUGGAGAGGGAACUGGAAUUUACGGUAUAGCAGUGAAAUGCGUAGAGAUCGUAAGGAAGGCCAGUGGCGAAGGCGAGUUCCUGGACAGUUACUGACGCUGAGGCACGAAGGCCAGGGGAGCAAACGGG
rnacentral:rRNA from 1 species